AGUAUUUGCUGGAGGUUUGCUUGAAAGAAUCGUUAUAUAAUGAUCAUGCCGACGGGUAAGAGAUAGGUUGUGCGGUUCGUCAAAUAUAUCUGAAAAUUUAGCAAGCAAAGGAAGUAGGUUUGGAUCUUCAAAUUCUAUUGGCUCUCCCUUAGUUUGCUGCUCAAGUUGUACCAAAAAGCCGCUGCAUGCUUUAUGCAAAACCUUCUCCAUUUGUUGUGUGCAAAUCGUCGUUACGUCGCCCUCACGUUUCCCGUGUAGUAUCACCU
rnacentral:lncRNA from 1 species